rnacentral:rRNA from 1 species
UCCCCUAGUAACGGCGAGUGAAGCGGGAGGAGCUCAAAUUUGAAAUCUCACGGGUUUCCUGUGCGAAUUGUAGUUUAAAGAGUCGUUUUCUGAGGCCACUUGAGCACAAGUUCUUUGGAACAAGACAUCAUAGAGGGUGAGAAUCCCGUCUUUGGUUCAAGAUGCGCCUCUUUGUGAUACGAACUCAAAGAGUCGGUUUGUUUGGGAAUGCAGACCAAAAUGGGUGGUAAAUACCAUCUAAGGCUAAAUAUAGGCGAGAGACCGAUAGCGAACAAGUACCGUGAGGGAAAGAUGAAAAGAACUUUGAAAAGAGAGUUAAAUAGUACGUGAAAUUGUCAAAAGGGAAACGCUUGAAACCAGUAUUGCUGUUGGGGAAUCAGCUGUCCGUUUGGGCAGUGCACUUUUCCGAGAGCAGGUCAACAUCGAUUUGGUCCGAGGUACAAAGCGCCUGGAAUGUAGCCCUUUGGGUGUUAUAGCCNGGUGAAAUGCCUCGGAUUGGAUCGAGGAAUGCAGUACUUUUGGAGGUCCAGUCGCCUUUGGAAGCAUCGACCUAAACAGCGUGCUGAUUAGGUUGAAUGUCAAGAAGAUCGGUUGGGUGCCUUACACCAGUGCUUAGGAUGUUGACGAAAUGGUUUUAAACGACCCGUCUUGAAACACGGACCAAGGAGUCUAACAUGUAUGCGAGUAUUUGGGUGGCAAACCCUUGUGCGUAAUGAAAGUGAACGGUGGGAAAUUAGCACCAUCGACCGGCCUGGAUUUUUUUGAUGGUCCGAGUAAGAGCAUGCAUGCUGGGACCCGAAAGAUGGUGAACUAUGCCUGAAUAGGGUGAAGCCAGAGGAAACUCUGGUGGAGGCUCGUAGCGAUUCUGACGCGCAAAUCGAUCGUCAAAUUUGGGUAUAGGGGCGAAAGACU